UUGGUGCUCUCAGAGGCUGCUGGAGCUUGGAUUCAGGUAUGGAGAUAUGCCUGCUCAUAAUUUUCUUUGGAGAGAGUGUGAGAAAUCCUCUGAUAAUGUUGCUGCUCGUUUGGCAGUAAUCCCACUGGUUCAGGAGGCCAGAGGGCU